CGGAGGUGCAAGCGUUAUCCGGAUUUAUUGGGUUUAAAGGGUCCGUAGGCGGAUCCGUAAGUCAGUGGUGAAAUCUCACAGCUUAACUGUGAAACUGCCAUUGAUACUGCGGGUCUUGAGUAAGGUAGAAGUGGCUGGAAUAAGUAGUGUAGCGGUGAAAUGCAUAGAUAUUACUUAGAACACCAAUUGCGAAGGCAGGUCACUAUGUCUUAACUGACGCUGAUGGACGAAAGCGUGGGGAGCGAACAGGAUUAGAUACCCUGGUAGUCCACGCCGUAAACGAUGCUAACUCGUUUUUGGGCUUUCGGGUUCAGAGACUAAGCGAAAGUGAUAAGUUAGCCACCUGGGGAGUACGUUCGCAAGAAUG
rnacentral:rRNA from 1 species